UUUCUUCUCAUUGCACUUAGACUUAGGUGUGUCCAUUUGUUUGAAGGGUUUGGAUGGAUAUUUUCUGGGGGGAUCCCGUCAUUUCAAGGGCAAAGAUUUUUAAAAAUAAAAAAAAAGAACCCAAUUACAACUCUAUCCUUUUCUUUCAGCCUCAAGGCAAACAACAUUCAUGCUUGCAUCUUCUGUGGUGUCUAUACCGCAGUCAGGGCCAAAAGAAACCACUUAAAAAGGAUUCCACCUAGCCUCAAUUAGGCACUGAUCAACAAUCACCACGUUUCUUUUCCUUACUACCUGUUCUGCCCCUUCUGGAACUUUUUUUUUUUUUCUUGGUGGCAAAUUUGUAGCAAUAGCCCAAAGUUUGUCCUUGAAUUUCAAUGUUCCACCCCCAUGCAUACCUGGGGCAAAGCAAGGCAUCUGUCAGCACAGACACUAGUUACAUCCACCAAAGAGAGAAAUCCAGGAACAUCGUGUAAAUAACCUGGUCACCCUUUGAAUGAAUUAUGCGGAAUUUGUGAACCUACUAACAAGGGAUCAUCCAGUUGGAUGGCUUCAGGGACAUGGAAAUCACUAGACUUUUAGAAACCUUCUUCGAAGUGGCAGUGCUCGUGAAGUUCUUUACCUUUACCAAAGGCAUGGCUCUCCAGAGAGCACAGGCUCCUGCACAAGAACCAGCACUUCAUCAGGAGAGGCUGCAGGUACUAAGUGAUGUCCUUGGCUCAGUUUUGUUUCCAUGGUAACUGUAUGCCACUUUUCACUAGCACGUUUCAACAUUUUCAUAACAGAGUUAAAACUACAUACACAGAACACCUCAAAAAUAAACACAAACGCAGUCAAGUCAUCUUAAAAGAAUGUGAAAUCCAUGUGUAUGUGUUGGUGGCUGCAGAGGGGGUGUGCUCCUGCUCUCACAAGAACCCGGCUUUCUUCAUUUCCAAGAAAAGUGAAGACAGGUACAAUCUGAGGAGCUUCUGAACUUAUCUUGGGUAGCCGACUGGGCACAAGUUUCAGUGAACGUAUGUUUGGCAUCUGUGUUGUAUUUUUCAACUUACAAAACUUCUGUUAAAAACAAUGUUUAAUGCCAGACCUAUGGUUAACAGCCAAGCUCCCCUAAGUUAAGGCAUUUUUUGAAACCUUGCUCUGAAGUGACACCCUGUGGUAAACAAUGAUAAAGGCCAACAGUCUUUCCUGAGCAAGAACAGAAUCUACCAAAAGAUCCUCUGUGGUUUUUACAGCGCUUUCCCAAGAGCAUGAGAGCCCUUCAGGUGGACAGAGGGCAACACACUCCAGGCUGAUGGAAGACAGACGAUGAAGAUGUGAUUAAAACCCUAACCAAACUAUUUCUGCAUGAGCAAGCGGGGCACUGUCGAUACUCUCAGAAUCACAGCAGCCACUCCUUAUAAACCGCUCCGAACUUGCUGAUAUGCUCUGUACUGUAUACAUAGCUCACGUGACACAAAACACAAACCAACUGCUGAGAGAGGUAAUUCAGUGAAUAAACGGCAAAAGUUGGCUUUGAAUUGGUGCAGACACUGCUGUCUCUAUUCUUAACUACUCUGAUAUAAAACAAGGAUAAGUGAAGGGAAAUGAAGAAACUUUGAGGGUUUAUUCAAUAUUUAUAUAAGCCCGAAGGUAUCCUAAGCACUUGCAAAAUAAAUGUCUAAAUAAUUAAACCAU
rnacentral:lncRNA from 1 species